CCUUCAGAGGACAAAGGGAACCCAAUGACCAUGAAGAAGGAGGGAAGCCCGGAUCUCCGCAGCCGCACCGUUGAGAUGGAAGCUCAAAGCACGUCUUAACACCGCUGACCAGAUGCCUUGGACACAGGCCGAAGCAACACCAUGUCAGCUGUUCCCCGGGGAAGAGACCCCAUAGGCUCCCUGUGGAGUGUCAGCUCUUCCUGUUGUGUCUUCUAAAGGAGUGGGUGGCUGUUGGCCGACGGAGGCUCUGUGUUUUUACACAGUAGUCACUUUGUUUUUUUGCUUUUUUAAUCAGUUCUCCUCAAAACAAAGUGACUCUCAGCCUCCACAGGUCAAUACAAAACAUCACAACAUGUCUUCAUACCACGUACUGUUGAUUGGAGCAUUUGCUCACAUAGCCUACAGUGGGUGCAAUCUUGAAGUACCUUUUUAUUUCUACUGAUUUACUUUUUCUCCGCUACAAUCCACAGGGAAAUCUGCUAGUACGUACAGGAGGAAGGAGGUUUCCAUGGAUAAACCUGAAUGUUUCUUCAUGAACAAGAUGCCACUGGGAGAAUGAACCACCUGAUUCCAGCAUACAGACAGAAAUUCAAACUCUGUAAACCUGCUGUUAGGACAUCUAACAUGUGGACCAGUGAAGCUGUGGAGACAUUAAGGCCAUGUUUGGACUGCACUGACUGGGACACUUUUAAGGCAGCAACAAACUGUUUGGAUAAGCACACAGAAGCAGUGACAACAUCCAUCUGCUUGUGCGAGGACUGCUGUAUUCCAGCACACACCAGGGGAUGGACGAGGGAGCCUCCCCUACUCUACUGCACGCACGACCACCCCAGGUCCGAUCCCCAGAAUGGCAGCUGCUGAGUCCUGAUGUGGGUGGAAAGGUGAGGGCAGGAUGUUCUUAUUUACAGUGC